rnacentral:lncRNA from 1 species
GCUCUUAGCCAUCAUCCCCCACCCUCUUUCUCUCUCGCAACCAUGACGAAUGAAGCUUAUGUCUUCCCUGCAGCCGUCUGCAACCUCUAUGUUUAGGGUAUGUUAGGUUACCUGGGUCAAUUCAGGCUGCAUCGUAUCUGCUAUGCUGGUUGAGUCUGGCCUGGAUGAUCUAAUGCAACGAGAGACUGAGAUGUGUGUUUCAUUGCCUAUAAGACGUGGGAUAGGUUGACCUGAGAUCGUGUUUGGUAGGUUGUACUAGAAAUCAGUGACCAACCAUG